rnacentral:ribozyme from 11 species
UUUUUUUUUUUUUUUUUUUUUUUUUUUUUUUUUUUUUUUUUUGUAUCAAAUGGCUGGCAAAAUUUCGAAAAUGUGA